AGGAAAAGAAACUAACAAGGAUUCCCCUAGUAACUGCGAGUGAAGCGGGAAAAGCUCAAAUUUAAAAUCUGGCGGUCUCUGGCCGUCCGAGUUGUAAUCUAGAGAAGUAAUGCCCGUGCUGGACCGUGUAUAAGUCUCCUGGGAUGGGGCGUCAUAGAGGGUGAGAAUCCCGUCUUUGACACGGACUACCAGUGCAUUGUGGUAUGCUCUCAAAGAGUCGAGUUGUUUGGGAAUGCAGCUCAAAAUGGGUGGUAAAUUCCAUCUAAAGCUAAAUAUUGGCGAGAGACCGAUAGCGAACAAGUACCGUGAGGGAAAGAUGAAAAGAACUUUGGAAAGAGAGUUAAACAGUACGUGAAAUUGCUGAAAGGGAAACGCUUGAAGUCAGUCGCGUUGGCCGGGGAUCAGCCUUGCUUUUGCAUGGUGUACUUUCUGGUUGACGGGUCAGCAUCAAUUUUGACCGCUGGAAAAAGACCUGGGGAAUGUGGCAGCUUCGGCUGUGUUAUAGCCCCUAGUCGCAUACAGUGGUUGGGAUUGAGGAACUCAGCACGCCGCAAGGCCGGGUUUCGACCACGUUCGUGCUUAGGAUGCUGGCAUAAUGGCUUUAAGCGACCCGUCUUGAAACACGGACCAAGGAGUCUAACAUGCCUGCGAGUAUUUGGGUGGAAAACCCAAGUGCGUAAUGAAAGUGAAAGUUGAGAUCCCUGUCGUGGGGAGCAUCGACGCCCGGACCAGAACUUUUGGGACGGAUCCGCGGUGGAGCAUGUAUGUUGGGACCCGAAAGAUGGUGAACUAUGCCUGAAUAGGGUGAAGCCAGAGGAAACUCUGGUGGAGGCUCGUAGCGA
rnacentral:rRNA from 1 species